AUUGAACGCUGGCGGCCGGCCUAACACAUGCAAGUCGAGCGAGCGGCGGACGGGUGAGUAAUGUCUGGGAAACUGCCUGAUGGAGGGGGAUAACUACUGGAAACGGUAGCUAAUACCGCAUACCAUCAGAUGUGCCCAGAUGGGAUUAGCUGGUCGGUGGGGUAACGGCUCACCUAGGCGACGAUCCCUAGCUGGUCUGCGAGGAUGACCAGCCACAAUGGAACUGAGACACGGUCCAGACUCCGACGGGAGGCAGCAGUGGGGAAUAUGGCACAAUGGGCGCAAGCCUGAUGCAGCCAUGCCGCGUGUGUGAAGAAGGCCUUCGGGUUGUAAAGCACUUUCAGCGGGGAGGCGUUACCAGCAGAAGAAGCACCGGCUAACUCCGUGCCAGCAGCCGCGGUAAUUC
rnacentral:rRNA from 1 species